CUAUACAUGCAGUCGAGCGAACAGACGAGGAGCUUGCUCCUUUGACGUUAGCGGCGGACGGGUGAGUAACACGUAGGUAACCUACCUAUAAGACUGGGAUAACUUCGGGAAACCGGAGCUAAUACCGGAUAAUAUUUCGAACCGCAUGGUUCGAUAGUGAAAGAUGGCUUUGCUAUCACUUAUAGAUGGACCUGCGCCGUAUUAGCUAGUUGGUAAGGUAACGGCUUACCAAGGCAACGAUACGUAGCCGACCUGAGAGGGUGAUCGGCCACACUGGAACUGAGACACGGUCCAGACUCCUACGGGAGGCAGCAGUAGGGAAUCUUCCGCAAUGGGCGAAAGCCUGACGGAGCAACGCCGCGUGAGUGAUGAAGGUCUUCGGAUCGUAAAACUCUGUUAUUAGGGAAGAACAAACGUGUAAGUAACUGUGCACGUCUUGACGGUACCUAAUCAGAAAGCCACGGCUAACUACGUGCCAGCAGCGGCCGGGUAAUAAA
rnacentral:rRNA from 1 species